rnacentral:rRNA from 1 species
AGGAAAGCAGGGGAUCGUAAGACCUUGCGCUUUUGGAGCGGCCGAUGUCUGAUUAGCUAGUUGGUGAGGUAAGGGCUUACCAAGGCUUCGAUCAGUAGCUGGUCUGAGAGGACGACCAGCCACACUGGGACUGAGACACGGCCCAGACUCCUACGGGAGGCAGCAGUGGGGAAUUUUGGACAAUGGGGGCAACCCUGAUCCAGCCAUGCCGCGUGAGUGAAGAAGGCCUUCGGGUUGUAAAGCUCUUUCAGCCGGAACGAAAAGGUUACGGUUAAUACCCGUGACUAAUGACGGUACCGGAAGAAGAAGCACCGGCUAACUACGUGCCAGCAGCCGCGGUAAUACGUAGGGUGCGAGCGUUAAUCGGAAUUACUGGGCGUAAAGCGUGCGCAGGCGGUUUUGUAAGUCAGAUGUGAAAUCCCCGGGCUUAACCUGGGAACUGCGUUUGAAACUACAAGGCU